AUGACCAGAGUCACGAACAGCUACUAUGUACUGCCUGAAGAACCAGAACCUGAGCGUACCGUGCCCAAUACACACAUCAUUGGCAAGGUAAUGUUCUUAACCGCUGUUGCCAAGCCUCGCUACACCGACGAUGGGGAACUAACAUUCGAUGGAAAAAUUGGCACAUGGGCGUUCCUGGUAGAGACUGAGGCGCAAAGAACCGGCCAAAACAGAGAUCGAGGAACGAUAGAGAUGAAAUCAGUGAAAGUAACCAGGCCCGUCUGUAGAGAUUACCUGAUCAAUAAAGUUAUCCCUGCAAUACAAGACAAGUGGCCUGACGAAGACGUGGGCACAACAAUUUUCAUCCAACAAGAUAAUGCGAGACCACAUGUCCUACCUAAUGAUGCAGGUUUUCUGGAAGCUGUGCAACAAACGGAUCUAGACAUUCGACUGUUACAACAACCGCCAAACAGCCCCGAGCUUAAUGUUUUAGACCUUUGUUUCCACCGCUCCCUCCAAUCCCUAACCGACAGCAGAGCACCUAUGAAUAUCCAGGAGUUGGUACAUGGUGUAGAGGAGGAGUUUGAGAACUAUGAUGCACAUAAGUUGUUCAAAAGCUUCAUCACACUGCAAGCAGUAAUGGUUGAAGUCAUGAAAGAUCAAGGAGGAAAUACCUACAAGCUGCCGCAUCUACACAAGGACCGUCUACAAAAUGGUGGAGAAGAAAUAACCGGUGUAUAUUGCAGUGCAGAGCUAAUUACUGAUACAAUGGCCAUUAUAGAAUAA
rnacentral:rRNA from 1 species